rnacentral:tRNA from 1 species
GGAGAGCCAGUGUGGUAUAGUGGUUAAAGCGGUAGACUCGUAAUCUGGUGAACUGGGUUCGCUUCCCUGCUCCUCCA